CAGAGAGAGAGAGAGAAAUGAAAUUGGAUGACCGACCUUUCUCAGAGGAAAGAAUUCUACGCCAUCGACAAGACGCAACGUCUCAGAAGAAGGUCAUGCAAGCGCUACUGCGCUUCUUGCGAUCGACCGGCCUUUCUGAACAACUGUAACCAGA
rnacentral:lncRNA from 1 species